CAAUAGCGUAUAUUUAAGUUGCUGCAGUUAAAGAGCUCGUAGUUGGAUUUCGGGUGGGAAUGGCCGGUCCGCCGUUUCGGUGUGCACUUGCUACGCCCACCUUGCUGCCGGGGACGUGCUCUUGAGUUCACGCUCGGGACACGGAGUCGGCGAGGUUACUUUGAGUAAAUUAGAGUGUUCAAAGCAGGCCUACGCUCUGAAUACAUUAGCAUGGAAUAACACGAUAGGACUCUGGCCUAUCUUGUUGGUCUGUAGGACCGGAGUAAUGAUUAAGAGGGACAGUCGGGGGCAUUCGUAUUUCACUGUCAGAGGUGAAAUUCUUGGAUUUAUGAAAGACGAACUACUGCGAAAGCAUUUGCCAAGGAUGUUUUCAUUAA
rnacentral:rRNA from 1 species